AUCUAGUUGACAAGUCUCAAAUAGGUCGAAACAUGUGUCCUGGAU
rnacentral:hammerhead_ribozyme from 1 species